rnacentral:rRNA from 1 species
UACGUAGGGUGCGAGCGUUAAUCGGAAUUACUGGGCGUAAAGCAUGCGCAGGCGGUUUUGUAAGCCAGAUGUGAAAUCCCCGGGCUCAACCUGGGAAUGGCAUUUGGGACUGCAAGGCUGGAGUGCGGCAGAGGAGACUGGAAUUCAUGGUGUAGCAGUGAAAUGCGUAGAGAUCAUGAGGAAGACCAGUGGCGAAGGCGGGUCUCUGGACAGUUCCUGACACUGAGGCACGAAGGCCAGGGGAGCAAACGGG